AUUGAACGCUGGCGGCAGGCCUAACACAUGCAAGUCGAACGAGUGGCGGACGGGUGAGUAAUGUCUGGGCAACUGCCCGAUGGAGGGGGAUAACUACAGGAAACGGUAGCUAAUACCGCCUACCAUCGGAUGUGCCCAGAUGGGUUGAGCUAGGAGGUGGGGUAACGGCGCACCUAGGCGACGAUCCCUAGCUGGUCUGAGAGGAUGAACAGCCACACUGGAACGGAGACACGGUCCAGACUCCUACGGUAGGCAGCAUGGGGGAAUAUUGCACAAUGGGCGCAAGCCUGAUGCAGCCAUGCCGCGUGUAUGAAGAAGGCCUUCGGGUUGUAAAGUACUUUCAGCGAGGAGGCGUUACUCGCAGAAGAAGCACCGGCUAACUCCGUGCCAGCAGCCGCGGUAAUAC
rnacentral:rRNA from 1 species